UUCCUUUGAUAUAAGUAAAAGGUGGUCCCUGCCCUAUGCAACUAGACUAACGUUUGUUGUAAAUGGCGGCGUUAACGUGAGCGUCCUAAGGUAGCGCGAUAAUUUGCUUUUUAAUUGAAGGAUGGUAUGAAAGGGUUAACGAAGAAGAUGCUGUAUCUAAAAAAUUUAAUUUAAACUAACUUUAAGGUGAAGAGGCCUUUAUGUAAAAGAAGGACGACAAGACCCUAUGAAGCUUUAUCUUAAUUGAAGGUUUUAGGCUUUUAUACGAUUUUGAUGGGAGAUCAGUAAAAAUAAGUCUUUUACUAUAACGUUAAUCUUACUAGAAUUUACUAAUUUUAUAUGUGUGAUUAGCUACUCUAGGGAUAACAGCGCAAUUUCCCCCGAAAGAUGGUAUUGGAGGGGAAGAUUGCGACCUCGAUGUUGGCUUAGGUGUCCUAGAGGUGUAGAAGCCUCUAAUGGUAGGUCUGUUCGCCCUUUAAAAUCUA
rnacentral:rRNA from 1 species